ensembl:lincRNA
CCUCACCCUCCCACCCCAGGCCUCGAGUCUGGGUUCUUAGAGAACUCUGGGGUCAGCUGAACCCAGCUGGUGACCUCCAUCAAGUCCCAUGAAGACCUUGGCUUCCUGUUCUGUAAAUGGAGGAUCAGUCUCUCUUGCGGAAUGUUCUCAGAUUAGCACACAGUGGGUCCUCACUGAAUGGCUAGCCAGCAGUUGUUGGUUGAAUAAGCUAAAGGUGUUUUUCUCCUUGAAAGGAGUAGCCAAUUAGAUAAGGAACCCGUGUAUAUGACAUUCCACAAAUAUUUAUUGAGCACCUAUUAUAUUUCAGGCAUUGUCCUGGUACUAUGGAGCAAUGAACAAACAAGACAAAAAUGCCCCCAUCACCUUUGGAGCCCACAUCUCUUCGGAGCUGCCCUACAUUUCCUGAGUAGGAAACUGAGACUCUGAGAGAUGAAGCUACUUGCCAACGCCACGCAGCUCAGCCACAUCCCACUGAACAUCAUCCUGUUCCCUGGGGUCCUCACAGCACCUCCUGCAAACAGACCUCCGACCCAAGCCCUUCCUUCUGCCUCCACUGCCACCAUUGCUGCUCAUCUCUGCUGGCACAGAAGUCUCGUCCCUGGUCCUCCAGAAAUCCCCUCUCCAUAUUCAGCGAGAGGGAGCUGUUAAAACUGCGGGCCAGCCCACAUCAGUCCCCGGCAAAGUCCUCUCUAAGGGAUCCCGUUGCUUGGAGAAUAAACCCUCGGAUUCCUUCCUUGGCUCUCGGGGCCUCCUCUCUGACCUCCCUCUGUCUCCUCUCCCAGCCUUCCUCCUCACUUACCCUCCAGCCACGCUGGCUUCCUCUUUGCUCCUGAAACAGCCUGAGGCCCACACUGCCGCGGGCCCUUUGCACUGGCUGUUCCCUCUACCUGGAACACUUCUCCCAGGCUUCCACAGGGCUCCCUCCCGCAAUUCCUUCGGGUGCCCACCUGGGAAGCCUUUCCUGACCGCCCCCCACUUCCUUCUGAGCACGGUCGGGUCUUUCUACCUGGUAUAUGAGGGCAGGGAUUUUUGUCUGCUGUGUUCUCUGUGUGCCCCAGUGCCAUCACAGUGUCUGGCAGAUGGUAAGUGCUCGACACACAUUGGCUGACUGCCUGAAUGAACAACUCUAUGGGCUGAUGGCAGUUAAGGACACUGAGGUCCUCUGGGGUAGGUGACCAGCCCAAGGCCACACAGCUGGUUUGAGAUUAGGCCAGGAGAGGAGCCCGGGUUGGUCACAUCCUGGAGCUGGUGUCUUGGAAACUGCAUCAGGAGAAUAACAAAGAUGAGACUCAGGCUCUAACAAGCGGAUACCAGCGACUCUUGCCCCGCCAGCCCCAGCCCUGCGGCCUUGGGCCCUUCCAGGAGUCAUGGUCUGCCUGCCUGGGGCAUUCCAGGCUUCAGCCCAGGUCCUGCGCUUUCUAUUUUGAGCCUCUUAGUCCUGAGGACUGUGUGUUCCCAGCAGGCGGCACGGGCCAGAGGCUGAGCCUGGGUGUGGCUGUCACCCUAUCUGGGGCCAGGGACCCAGAUUCCCGGGCCCUUAACCUGUUGGCUGCUGAGGGCUCUGGCAUAAGCCCUGUUCCCUGCUUGAUUGUCUCCCCUUCAAGCCCCUGCGCUGGUGUCUUCCAGGCAUGGUAUCAGCCCAUCUCACCU